CAAGAUUGUUGCAGAGGGCCAGGGAUUUAGCUCAGUGGUUUCGCCGCCUCCUGCGCAAGUGCAAGGACCCAAGUUCGAUCCCCGGUACAAAAAAAAAAAAAAAGAUUGUUGCAGAAAUCUAGGAAAGAACCGAUGAUAGUGAGUUGGACUAGGGUAGGGGCAGUGAAGGUGAAAGGAGUAAAUUCAAGGGCUGUUUUGGAAGUUGUAUCAGCAGGACUCGGCAGGGUGCUCAGAUCAUCUUUAUGGGUGAUGAGGAAGGAAGAGGGUGUGAGAACUUAUUUUUCUGGCUUGGGCAUGUAAGAAUGGGAGUGCUAGCCACCAAGAGAUGGAACCUUGGAAAGGACUACUUUGAUGAGAACCAUGAGCUCAGCCUUGAACACGUUGAGGGUUGGGUUUGGAUUGUUUUUGUUUUUGUUUUGCGAUGAUCAUUUCAGGCCUGGAGCUCAGAGGGGACUGCCUCCAGCAAAUCUGCCACGGACUCUGUGGAGGUGCCCUGGGCUGCCUGUCCUACAAUCAAUCACUCUUCUGUUUUCAUUUUACACAGGGAUCGGGUGCUGUAGGCCCCAGAGUAAGUGGAGCCCCUUCCAGGUUCAGCCUUAAUUACCAAAAGUGGUGAUCCUGUUGCCUUUGUUUUUGUUUUUGCGUUUUUGAAGCAAGGAAGGUCUCUCUAAGUAGUUCAGGCUGGCGUUGAGCUCACUGUGUAGCCCAGGCUGGCAGUCCUCCUGCCUCAGCCUCCCAAGUGCUGGGAUUACAGGCAUGCACCACCAUCCCCGGCAAGGUUAAAUAACCUAGCCUAGUAAGACAGUUUCUUUUUUUUUUCUUCUGGUUUUUUGAGACAGGAUCUCGCUGUGUAGUUUGGGCUGGACUUGAACUCAUUAUGCAGUCUAGGCUGGCCUUGCACUUGCAGUGAUCCUCCUCCCUCAGCCUCCUAAGUGCUGGGAUUACAGGUGUGUGUGCCAUCCCAUUCAGCUCAACCUUAAUUAAUCUGAAGUCAUUUAUUGUAGUUCCAUUCUCUUGCCAGGAAUUGCUGAGGAGUAGGUUGUGUUACAAAUCUGGCAGAAUGGGCUGGAGGGGAAGAAUUCUGGGGAAGUUCUUGCUCCUCAGAGGGAACUGAGGAGGAAUCUCCCUGCUCUUCCUCACUUCAGUGCUUUGGUUCUUGUUAUGUGAGAAGAACAUGAUGUCUGGUGUUGCUGUCCCUUAUUGUGACCAUAAGGACAGAGAAAACUUAGGUCUGUGAUACUGACCUGUAUCCCUACCACAGGUUGUAUUAUUACAUAAGGUGAUAAAAGCCAUUAUUGCUUAAGCCACCCUUAGUUUUGUUGGUUUCUCCCAUCCAGAAGCAUCCUGUUAGAGCAUCUUGCUUAAGUGCCUCAUGACCAGUGUUAUUAGUAUCAUCAUCAUCAUCAUCAUCAUCACCAUCAUCAUUUGGAAUCAGGCAUAAUAGACAGUAGACUCAUGUUUUGACACUUCAAAGAUUGUUUUGUGCCCUGGCAUCUCCAUGUGCAGCAGAGACCACACUUUGAGAAGCAGUCUUCAAGCCAAUAUUGUUUUUCACGUCUUUAAGCUGCCUAUGCCAAAUUACAACAUCAUAAAAACAUCUGCUCUUGAGAGAAGACCUCUUCCCACUGGACAUCUGGAGUCUCCCUGUUUUCUUCCUAGCAUAGCCAACCAUUGACAGUUCUGAAAGCACAUCUGUGAGCACAGUAUCCUCAUUUCCAAAUCACAGAUGCCCAGAAGAGUUGUGAGUCAGUUCUGGUUGCUCCUGUAUAGAAGCAUGGAAAGAGAAUUAGAAUCAGUAGUCUCUAGCUGGAAUUACCAGGCCAUAGGUUUCUGAAGGAGCUGUUGAUCACUGUAGACUUUAUAGUAGCAUAUGAAGCAGCCUGUUUUCACUGGCCAUGUUCCUGCUGGGAGAUUUGCAGGCUUAAAUGCAUUCCUGACAUACAGCCCUACCACAUUAGCAUGAGUUAUUUAAAACACUGUGUUUAAUGUGGUAAGCUUAAUAGACUGAUCUAAUAAUCUAAGAUGGGAAAACAUCAUUUAGUAAUAUAAUAUCAAACAGAACAUACACAUCCAAGUAGUGUAGAAAAAUAAAGUACCCCAUAAAGAUAAUGAAAUGUGGAUGCUGAAUAAAACCAUUGAUUAUUAUAUAUAAGGUCCAGUGUUUGUUUACUCCCACCAAUGGAAAAG
rnacentral:lncRNA from 1 species